UACGUAGGGUGCAAGCGUUGUCCGGAAUUAUUGGGCGUAAAGAGCUCGUAGGCGGUUUGUCGCGUCUGCUGUGAAAUCCCGAGGCUCAACCUCGGGCCUGCAGUGGGUACGGGCAAACUAGAGUGCGGUAGGGGAGAUUGGAAUUCCUGGUGUAGCGGUGGAAUGCGCAGAUAUCAGGAGGAACACCGGUGGCGAAGGCGGGUCUCUGGGCCGUAACUGACGCUGAGGAGCGAAAGCAUGGGGAGCGAACAGG
rnacentral:rRNA from 1 species